rnacentral:rRNA from 1 species
GACGAACGCUGGCGGCGUGCUUAACACAUGCAAGUCGAACGAUGAACCCGGAGCUUGCUCUGGGGGAUUAGUGGCGAACGGGUGAGUAACACGUGAGUAACCUGCCCUGGACUCUGGGAUAAGCGUUGGAAACGACGUCUAAUACCGGAUAGGACCUCGGAUCGCAUGAUCUGGGGUGGAAAGUUUUUCGGUCUGGGAUGGACUCGCGGCCUAUCAGCUUGUUGGUGAGGUAACGGCUCACCAAGGCGUCGACGGGUAGCCGGCCUGAGAGGGUGACCGGCCACACUGGGACUGAGACACGGCCCAGACUCCUACGGGAGGCAGCAGUGGGGAAUAUUGCACAAUGGGCGAAAGCCUGAUGCAGCAACGCCGCGUGCGGGAUGACGGCCUUCGGGUUGUAAACCGCUUUUAGUAAGGAAGAAGGGGAGCUUGCUCCUUGACGGUACUUGCAGAAAAAGGACCGGCUAACUACGUGCCAGCAGCCGCCGUAACAC